rnacentral:rRNA from 1 species
GAUGAACGCUGGCGGCGUGCCUAAUACAUGCAAGUCGAGCGAACAGACGAGGAGCUUGCUCCUCUGACGUUAGCGGCGGACGGGUGAGUAACACGUGGAUAACCUACCUAUAAGACUGGGAUAACUUCGGGAAACCGGAGCUAAUACCGGAUAAUAUAUUGAACCGCAUGGUUCAAUAGUGAAAGACGGUUUUGCUGUCACUUAUAGAUGGAUCCGCGCCGCAUUAGCUGGUUGGUAAGGUAACGGCUUACCAAGGCAACGAUGCGUAGCCGACCUGAGAGGGUGAUCGGCCACACUGGAACUGAGACACGGUCCAGACUCCUACGGGAGGCAGCAGUAGGGAAUUUUCCGCAAUGGGCGAAAGCCUGACGGAGCAACGCCGCGUGAGUGAUGAAGGUCUUCGGAUCGUAAAACUCUGUUAUUAGGGAAGAACAAAUGUGUAAGUAACUAUGCACGUCUUGACGGUACCUAAUCAGAAAGCCACGGCUAACUACGUG